rnacentral:rRNA from 1 species
AUUGAACGCUGGCGGCAGGCCUAACACAUGCAAGUCGAACGGUAACAGGGAUCAGCUUGCUGAUUCGCUGACGAGUGGCGGACGGGUGAGUAAUGUCUGGGAAACUGCCUGAUGGAGGGGGAUAACUACUGGAAACGGUAGCUAAUACCGCAUAACGUCGCAAGACCAAAGAGGGGGACCUUCGGGCCUCUUGCCAUCGGAUGUGCCCAGAUGGGAUUAGCUAGUAGGUGGGGUAACGGCUCACCUAGGCGACGAUCCCUAGCUGGUCUGAGAGGAUGACCAGCCACACUGGAACUGAGACACGGUCCAGACUCCUACGGGAGGCAGCAGUGGGGAAUAUUGCACAAUGGGCGCAAGCCUGAUGCAGCCAUGCCGCGUGUAUGAAGAAGGCCUUCGGGUUGUAAAGUACUUUCAGCGGGGAGGAAGGGAGUAAAGCUAAUACCUUUGCUCAUUGACGUUACCCGCAGAAGAAGCACCGGCUAACUCCGUG